rnacentral:rRNA from 1 species
AGCGAACGCUGGCGGCAGGCCUAACACAUGCAAGUCGAACGAACCUUUCGGGGUUAGUGGCGGACGGGUGAGUAACAUGUGGGACCGUGCCUUUAGGUUCGGAAUAACUCAGGGAAACUUGUGCUAAUACCGAAUGUGUCCUUCGGGGGAAAGAUUUAUCGCCUUUAGAGCGGCCCGCGUCUGACUAGCUAGUUGGUUGAGGUAAUGGCGCUCCAAGGCGACGAUCAGUAGCUGGUCUGAGAGGAUGAUCAGCGACAUUGGGACUGAGACACGGCCCAAACUCCUACGGGAGGCAGCAGUGGGGAAUCUUGCGCAAUCGGCGAAAGCCUGACGCAGCCAGGCCGCGUGAAUGAUGAAGGUCUUAGGAUUGUAAAAUUCUUUCACCGGGGACGAUAAUGACGGUACCCGGAGAAGAAGCCCCGGCUAACUUCGUG